UACAUUUACCCCAUCUUUGUUCUAUCAUCUCGCACAAAAAUCUUAGCUAAUAAUCAUGGCCAUGAAGAAGGACAACAACCAUACUAGCAACGUGCUGUCAUCUCCGACCAAGCGAUUAAGAUUAACGAAGCCGUUGCCGGAGGAAUUGUCUCAGAAGCCGGAAGUGGAAGCGAGGAAAGAGAGGAGGUUGCGGAGACGUCAGUAGUGGUAGCUGUGGAUGAUGAGAGCGGAUCAAAUUUGGUAAAAAGAACUUCUAAAAAAAUGGAUCUGGAGGUAUCCGUAAGGAUCUCGAUUCCACGGCGAAGGAUCUUCAGGUUAAAGUGAGAGCGGAAGGAACCGAGCUCGAACCAUCUUGACUAUCUUCUUCCACAACAGCUACAGAGGUUUCUCUUCUGCUACAACGUAAGAAAAGACAAUGGAUAUAUCAUAUAUUCAAAUUAUUAACUGAGGAUGAUGAUGAUGACACGGUUUUGAUUUUACAUGACGAAGAAACAAUGCAUGCUGCGGUCCAACAACUUUAUAGAGUUAAUCCUCAUAGUAAGAUGCAAAGGACAAACAGAGCACAAGUGAUUGGGGACUAGCCAAUCACGUCUUCAUGAGAUACUUUCCUACAGGAAUCAGCUGAUUGAGAACCACCCAGAUUUUAGUUGUAGUCAGCUUAAGGCUAUGAAGGUUUUACAUUCACUGACUAGUAUAAGAAUGUGGUCUCUACUGUACAAGGCAUCAAUUCGACAUCUCCAAGAAGAUUCUGGGAAUCGGCAAACGUUCUUGAGUUAUGAAGAUAACGAAAACAAAGUUCUUUAUUUGGAGUUUGUAACUGGUGAAAGCAGAGAUGCCUGAGUGAAUCAUAAGGAAAGAACUUUAAUCUUUUUUUGUGUUGUUUUUGUAUCUUA